rnacentral:rRNA from 1 species
GAUGAACGCUAGCGACAGGCUUAACACAUGCAAGUCGAGGGGCAGCGAGGGCGUAGCAAUACGCCUGUCGGCGACCGGCGCACUGGUGAGUAACACGUAUGCGACCUGCCCCCUACAGGGGUAUAACCCGUAGAAAUGCGGACUAAUCCCCCAUAGUCCUGAGUGCUGCAUGGCAUUCAGGGGAAAGGGUUUCCGGUAGGGGAUGGGCAUGCGGCGCAUUAGCUAGUUGGCGGGGCAACGGCCCACCAAGGCGACGAUGCGUAGGGGUUCUGAGAGGAAGGUCCCCCACACUGGUACUGAGACACGGACCAGACUCCUACGGGAGGCAGCAGUGAGGAAUAUUGGUCAAUGGGCGCAGGCCUGAACCAGCCAAGUCGCGUGAGGGAAGACGGUCCUACGGAUUGUAAACCUCUUUUGUCGGGGAGUAACGUGCGGGACGCGUCCCGUAUUGAGAGUACCCGAAGAAAAAGCAUCGGCUAACUCCGUG